rnacentral:tRNA from 5 species
GGAGACAUGGCAGAGUGGUAAUGCAGCGGAUUCGAAAUCCGCCGAACCGGUGAUAAAUCGGUGCACGGGUUCAAAUCCCGUUGUCUCCU